rnacentral:rRNA from 1 species
GAUGAACGCUGGCGGUAUGCCUAACACAUGCAAGUCGUACGGGAGUUUUUAACUCCAGUGGCGGACGGGUGAGUAACACGUGAGAAUUUGCCUUUAGGAGGGGGAUAACAAUUGGAAACGAUUGCUAAUACCCCAUAUGCUUAAGAGUGAAAUAGAUUUAUCUGCCUAAAGAAAAGCUCGCGGCUGAUUAGCUUGUUGGUAAGGUAAUGGCUUACCAAGGCGACGAUCAGUAUCUGGUUUGAGAGGACGAUCAGACACACUGGAACUGAGACACGGUCCAGACUCCUACGGGAGGCAGCAGUGGGGAAUUUUCCGCAAUGGGGGAAAGCCUGACGGAGCAAUACCGCGUGAGGGAAGAGGGCCUAUGGGUGGUAAACCUCUUUUUUCAGGGAGGAAGA